rnacentral:rRNA from 1 species
UUCGUGUGAACAGUGGUUGAUCACGAGUUAGUCGGUCCUAAGUUCAAGGCGAAAGCCGAAAAUUUUCAAGUAAAACAGAAAAAAAUGGAAAAAUUUUUUUUUUUUUAUUAAUUUUUGCAACACUUGAAUAAUUUUGAACGAAAGGGAAUACGGUUCCAAUUCCGUAACCUGUUGAGUAUCCGUUUGUUAUUAAAUAUGGGCCUUGUGCUCAUCCUGGUAACAGGAACGACCAUAAAGAAGCCGUCGAGAGAUAUCGGAAGAGUUUUCUUUUCUGUUUUAUAGCCGUACUACCAUGGAAGUCUUUCGCAGAGAGAUAUGGUAGAUGGGCUAGAAGAGCAUGACAUAUACUGUUGUGUCGAUAUUUUCUCCUCGGACCUUGAAAAUUUAUGGUGGGGACACGCAAACUUCUCAACAGGCCGUACCAAUAUCCGCAGCUGGUCUCCAAGGUGAAGAGUCUCUAGUCGAUAGAAUA